GGGCCUGUAGCUCAGUACGGAUAGAGCAAUGGAUUCCUAAUCCAUGUGUCGCCAGUUCGAGUCUGGCCAGGCCCA
rnacentral:tRNA from 1 species